rnacentral:rRNA from 1 species
AACGAACGCUGGCGGCAGGCCUAACACAUGCAAGUCGAGCGAGGACUUCGGUCCUAGCGGCGGACGGGUGAGUAACGCGUGGGAACGUGCCCUUUGCUUCGGAAUAGCCCUGGGAAACUGGGAGUAAUACCGGAUGAGCCCUUUGGGGGAAAGAUUUAUCGUCGAAGGAUCGGCCCGCGUUGGAUUAGGUAGUUGGGUGGGUAAUGGCCUACCAAGCCGACGAUCCAUAGCUGGUUUGAGAGGAUGAUCAGCCACACUGGGACUGAGACACGGUCCAGAAUCCUACGGGAGGCAGCAGUGGGGAAUCUUAGACAAUGGGGGAAAUCCUGAUCUAGCCAUGCCGGGUGAGCGAUGAAGGCCUUAGGGUUGUAAAGCUCUUUCAGCUGGGAAGAUAAUGACGGUACCAGCAGAAGAAGCCCCGGCUAACUCCGUG